UACGUAGGGUGCAAGCAUUAAUCGGAAUUAUUGGGCGUAAAGGGCGCGUAGGCGGAUUGAUAAGUCAGAUGUGAAAUACCAAAGCUCAACUUUGGUGCUGCAUUUGAAACUGUCUCUCUAGAGGAUUGACGGAGAAAGGGGAAUUCCACGUGUAGCGGUGAAAUGCGUAGAUACGUGGAGGAACACCGGUGGCGAAAGCGCCUUUCUAGUUUAGACCUGACGCUGAGGCGCGAGAGCAAGGGGAGCAAACAGG
rnacentral:rRNA from 2 species